GAUGAACGCUGGCGGCGUGCCUAAUACAUGCAAGUCGAGCGAACAGACGAGGAGCUUUCUCUUCUGCCGUUAGCGGCGGACGGGUGAGUAACACGUGGAUAACCUACCUAUAAGACUGGGAUAAUUUCGGGAAACCGGAGCUAAUACCGGAUAAUAUAUUCAACCGCAUGGUUCAAUAGUGAAAGACGGCUUUGCUGUUACUUAUAGAUGGAUUCGCGCCGCAUUAGCUAGUUGGUAAGGUAACGGCUUACCAAGGCAACGAUGCGUAGCCGACCUGAGAGGGUGAUCGGCCACACUGGAACUGAGACACGGUCCAGACUCCUACGGGAGGCAGCAGUAGGGAAUCUUCCGCAAUGGGCGAAAGCCUGACGGAGCAACGCCGCGUGAGUGAUGAAGGUCUUCGGAUCGUAAAACUCUGUUAUUAGGGAAGAACAAAUGUGUAAGUAACUAUGCACGUCUUGACGGUACCUAAUCAGAAAGCCACGGCUAACUACGUG
rnacentral:rRNA from 1 species